CAUAACUGCUUGACAAGGCCUGAUCUCGUCUGAUCUCAGAAGAUAAGCAGGGCUGGGUCUGGUUAGCACUUGGAUGGGAGACGACAGGGAAUACCAGGUA
rnacentral:rRNA from 1 species